GCUACCCUGCAGUCAGAGAUAGGUCAAGCUUUGGCCUCAACACUGAACUCCUCUGAGGUCUGAGGGAGUGUCACCGAGCCUGCAGGGGUCUCUGGAUCCCAGGGUGCUUCCCACUACAUCCCCAAAGGUGGAUUCUUUACCACUGAACCACCUGGGAAAACCAAAAGGAGAUUUUCUUUAAGAUGGGGAAGAGGAGAUUGGAGAGAUCAAGUAGCUUAUCUGAGAACUUACAGAUGAAAGUGGUG